CCUACGGGUGGCAGCAGUGGGGAAUAUUGGGCAAUGGGCGCAAGCCUGACCCAGCCAAGCCGCGUGAAGGAAGAAGGCUUUCGGGUUGUCAACUUCUUUUCUCGGGGACGAAGCAGGUGACGGUACCUGAGGAAUAAGUCACGGCUAACGGCGUGCCAGCAGCCUCGGUAAUACGUGGGUGGCAAGCGUUAUACGGAUUUACUGGGUGUAAUGAUCGUUUAGGCGGGAAUGCAAGUCAGAUGUGAACACCACGGGCGCAACAUGUGGACUGCAUUUGCAACUGUAAUUCUUGAGUCUUGGAGAGGAAGACGGAAGUCCUGGUGUAGCGGUGAAAUGCGUAGAUAUUAGGAGGAACACCAGUGGCGAAGGCGGUCUGCUGGACAGAAACUGACGCUGAGGCGCGAAAGCGUGGGGAGCAAACAGGAUUAGAUACCCUGGUAGUC
rnacentral:rRNA from 1 species